rnacentral:rRNA from 1 species
AGUUUGAUCAUGGCUACAGAACGAACGCUGGCGGCAGGCCUCAAACAUGCAAGUCUAGGGGGUGUAGCAAUACAUCACCGGCGGACGGGUGCGUAACGCGUGGGAAUAUACCUAUCGAUUCGGAACAACUGAGGGAAACUUCAGCUAAUACCGAAUACGUCCUAACGGAGAAAGAUUUAUCGUCGAUAGAUUAGCCCGCGUUCGAUUAGCUAGUUGGUGGGGUAACGGCCCACCAAGGCGACGAUCGAUAGCUGUUCUGAGAGGAAGAUCAGCCACACUGGGACUGAGACACGGCCCAGACUCCUACGGGAGGCAGCAGUUGGGAAUCUUGGACAAUGGGGGAAACCCUGAUCCAGCCAUGCCGCGUGAGUGAUGAAGGCCUUCGGGUUGUAAAACUCUUUCGCGCACGACGAUAAUGACGGUAGUGCGAGAAGAAGCUCCGGCUAACUUCGUG